CAAAACCCCCCCUGUGGUUUCGUAAUUUCUCACUUUACCCCCUCUGUAGUUUAAAAUGUAUCAAUUUGUCCCCUUGUGGUUUCUUUUUUCUCUUUUUCUUAUCAAUUUUAUUAUUAUUUUUUAAAUCAGUGAUAAAGUUAAAAUUAAAGGGUACUAAAGUGAAUAUUUGAUAAAUCUAGAUGGGUAUCUGAAAUUUUUUUUAUAUAAUUUAAUAAAAUAUUAACGAAAAAGCUACCGAAAAGAUAAAAACGAAACCACAUGGGGGCAAAUUGAUACACUUUAAACAACAGGGUACUAAAGUGAAAAACAAUGAAACCACAUGGGAGGUUUUGAAGUUUUCCCUUUUUAGUUUUUAAGUUUUGCAAGGCCAAAAAGUAUAAUAUUUGAAGAAAAAAAUAAAAAUAUUUUGGAAUUUUUUGAUCUUUCGAAACAUAAAA
rnacentral:lncRNA from 1 species